rnacentral:rRNA from 1 species
UACGUAGGUGGCAAGCGUUGUUCGGAAUUAUUGGGCGUAAAGCGCACGUAGGCGGCUUUGUAAGUUAGAGGUGAAAGCCCAGGGCUCAACCCUGGAAUUGCCUUUAAGACUGCAUCGCUUGAACAUCGGAGAGGUAAGUGGAAUUCCGAGUGUAGAGGUGAAAUUCGUAGAUAUUCGGAAGAACACCAGUGGCGAAGGCGACUUACUGGACGAUUGUUGACGCUGAGGUGCGAAAGCGUGGGGAGCAAACAGG